rnacentral:rRNA from 1 species
UGGGGAAUCUUGGACAAUGGGGGAAACCCUGAUCCAGCCAUGCCGCGUGAGCGAUGACGGCCUUAGGGUUGUAAAGCUCUUUCACCGGUGACGAUAAUGACGGUAGCCGGAGAAGAAGCCCCGGCUAACUCCGUGCCAGCAGCCGCGGUAAUACGGAGGAUGCAAGCGUUAUCCGGAAUUAUUGGGCGUAAAGCGUCCGUAGGCGGUUCAUCAAGUCAGUUGUUAAAGACUGCAGCUCAACUGUGGGCGAGCACCUGAAACUGAUGAACUAGAGUGCGGUAGGGGUAGAGGGAAUUCCCAGUGUAGCGGUGAAAUGCGUAGAUAUUGGGAAGAACACCAGUGGCGAAGGCGCUCUACUGGGCCGCAACUGACGCUGAGGGACGAAAGCUAGGGGAGCGAAAGGGAUUAGAUACCCCUGUAGUCC